rnacentral:rRNA from 1 species
AGAGUUUGAUCAUGGCUCAGGAUGAACGCUAGCGGCAGGCUUAAUACAUGCAAGUCAAGGGGGUAGCAAUACAACCGGCGCACGGGUGAGUAACGCGUACACAACAUACCAUAUACUGGGGUAUAGCUUUGGGAAACUGAAGGUAAUCCCCCAUAACAUUGCGAGAGGGCAUCUGAUUGCAAUUAAAGUUUCGGCGGUAUAUGAUUGGUGUGCGUUUGAUUAGCUAGUUGGUAGGGUAACGGCCUACCAAGGCGACGAUCAAUAGCUGGCGUGAGAGCGCGACCAGCCACACUGGAACUGAGACACGGUCCAGACUCCUACGGGGAGGCAGCAGUAGGGAAUAUUGGACAAUGGAGGAAACUCUGAUCCAGCCAUGCCGCGUGAUAGAUGAAGGCCCUCUGGGUUGUAAAUAUCUUUUAUCUGGGAAGAAACUCCUCUAUUCUUAGAGGCCUGACGGUACCAGAGGAAUAAGCACCGGCUAACUCCGUG